rnacentral:rRNA from 1 species
GACGAACGCUGGCGGCGUGCUUAACACAUGCAAGUCGAACGGAAAGGCCCUGCUUUUGUGGGGUGCUCGAGUGGCGAACGGGUGAGUAACACGUGAGUAACCUGCCCUUGACUUUGGGAUAACUUCAGGAAACUGGGGCUAAUACCGGAUAGGAGCUCCUGCUGCAUGGUGGGGGUUGGAAAGUUUCGGCGGUUGGGGAUGGACUCGCGGCUUAUCAGCUUGUUGGUGGGGUAGUGGCUUACCAAGGCUUUGACGGGUAGCCGGCAUGAGAGGGUGACCGGCCACCUUGGUACUGCGAUACGGCCCAGACUCCUACGGUAGGCAGCAGUGGGGAAUCUUGCACAAUGGGCGGAAGCCUGAUGCAGCAACGCCGCGUGCGUGAUGACGGCCUUCGGGUUGUAAACCGCUUUCGCCUGUGACGAAGCGUGAGUGACGGUAAUGGGUAAAGAAGCACCGGCUAACUACGUG